rnacentral:lncRNA from 1 species
GGACUCCGCCGCCGCCGCCAUUAUCAACCUCCACCACCUCGCCACCUCACAACAACCGCUCAUUGACCUUGAAAACCUUAAGUCCGAGCAUUCUCAUCAUCCUCCUCAUCGUCGUCGUCACCAUCGUCGCCUCAUUCUCCCUCUGCCGAAUCCUCCGCUGCAUCAACAACCGCUUCCUCUGCCACAUCACUCCCUCCUCCGGCGGAUUCGUGUGAGUUUCGUUCUGUCCGAGUGCAAUUUCGA